GUUCAUGUAGCUUAUAUAAAGCAAAGCACUGAAAAUGCUUAGAUGGAUGCAAGCAUCCCAUAAACA
rnacentral:tRNA from 1 species